CGAGUUUGAUCAUGGCUCAGAUUGAACGCUGGCGGAAUGCUUUACACAUGCAAGUCGAACGGCAGCACGGGGCAACCUGGUGGCGAGUGGCGAACGGGUGAGUAAUACAUCGGAACGUGCCCAGUCGUGGGGGAUAACGUAGCGAAAGCUACGCUAAUACCGCAUACGAUCUACGGAUGAAAGCGGGGGACUCGCAAGAGCCUCGCGCGAUUGGAGCGGCCGAUGGCAGAUUAGGUAGUUGGUGGGGUAAAGGCUCACCAAGCCUGCGAUCUGUAGCUGGUCUGAGAGGACGACCAGCCACACUGGGACUGAGACACGGCCCAGACUCCUACGGGAGGCAGCAGUGGGGAAUUUUGGACAAUGGGCGAAAGCCUGAUCCAGCCAUUCCGCGUGCAGGAUGAAGGCCCUCGGGUUGUAAACUGCUUUUGUACGGAACGAAACGGCCUUUUCUAAUACAGAGGGCUAAUGACGGUACCGUAAGAAUAAGCACCGGCUAACUACGUG
rnacentral:rRNA from 1 species